rnacentral:rRNA from 1 species
GCAUGCCGCGGUGAAUACGUUCCCGGGCCUUGUACACACCGCCCGUCACACCACGAGAGCUUGCAACACCCGAAGUCGGUGAGGUAACCCGCAAGGGAGCCAGCCGCCGAAGGUGGGGCAAGUGAUUGGGGUGAAGUCGUAACAAGGUAGCCGUACCGGAAGGUGCGGCUGGAUCACCUCCUUUCUAAGGA